rnacentral:sRNA from 1 species
UACUUCAGCUUCCUCAUUACAACCAUGGC